GAUGAAGAACGCAGCGAAAUGCGAUACGUAGUGUGAAUUGCAGAAUUCAGUGAAUCAUCGAAUCUUUGAACGCGCAUUGCGCCGUUUGGUAGUCCAAAGGGCAUGCCUGUUCGAGCGUCAUUUGUACCCUCAAGCUUUGCUUGGUAUUGGGCGUCUUGUCUCCAGUUCGCUGGAGACUCGCCUUAAAGUCAUUGGCAGCCGGCCUACUGGUUUCGGAGCGCAGCACAAGUCGCACUCUUUUCCAGCCAAGGUCAGCGUCCAACAAGCCUUUUUUCAACUUUUGACCUCGGAUCAGGUAGGGAUACCCGCUGAACUUAAGCAUAUCAAUAAGCAGAGGA
rnacentral:misc_RNA from 1 species